rnacentral:rRNA from 1 species
GAUGAACGCUGGCGGCGUGCCUAAUACAUGCAAGUCGAGCGAACGGACGAGAAGCUUGCUUCUCUGAUGUUAGCGGCGGACGGGUGAGUAACACGUGGAUAACCUACCUAUAAGACUGGGAUAACUUCGGGAAACCGGAGCUAAUACCGGAUGAUAUUUUGAACCGCAUGGUUCAAAAGUGAAAGACGGUCUUGCUGUCACUUAUAGAUGGAUCCGCGCUGCAUUAGCUAGUUGGUAAGGUAACGGCUUACCAAGGCAACGAUGCAUAGCCGACCUGAGAGGGUGAUCGGCCACACUGGAACUGAGACACGGUCCAGACUCCUACGGGAGGCAGCAGUAGGGAAUCUUCCGCAAUGGGCGAAAGCCGGACGGAGCAACGCCGCGUGAGGGAUGAAGGUCUUCGGAUCGUAAAACUCUGUUAUUAGGGAAGAACAUAUGUGUAAGUAACUGUGCACAUCUUGACGGUACCUAAUCAGAAAGCCACGGCUAACUACG